rnacentral:rRNA from 1 species
UGGUGGAGCGAUUUGUCUGGUUAAUUCCGAUAACGAACGAGACUCUAGCCUGCUAAAUAGUCUGCAGAUCGCAUCGUCCGCAGCACUUCUUAGAGGGACAAGCGGCAUUUAGCCGCACGAAAAUGAGCAAUAACA